CCUACGGGUGGCUGCAGUGAGGAAUAUUGGUCAAUGGGCGGAAGCCUGAACCAGCCAAGUAGCGUGCAGGAUGACGGCCCUACGGGUUGUACACUGCUUUUAUACGGGAAUAACGCGCCUUACGUGUAGGGCUUUGCAUGUACCGUAUGAAUAAGGACCGGCUAAUUCCGUGCCAGCAGCCGCGGUAAUACGGAAGGUCCGGGCGUUAUCCGGAUUUAUUGGGUUUAAAGGGUGCGCAGGCGGGCGGUUAAGCCGGCGGUAAAAAUUCCGGGCUCACCCCUGUCGAGACGUCGGAACUGGCAGUCUUGAGUGGGCGAGAAGUAUGCGGAAUGCGUGGUGUAGCGGUGAAAUGCAUAGAUAUCACGCAGAACGCCGAUUGCGAAGGCAGCAUACCGGCGCCCAACUGACGCUGAGGCACGAAAGCGUGGGGAUCGAACAGGAUUAGAUACCCGGGUAGUC
rnacentral:rRNA from 1 species